rnacentral:piRNA from 1 species
UCAGUUGAAAGGUAUGCCUGUAUCCC